rnacentral:rRNA from 1 species
CCUACGGGAGGCAGCAGUGAGGAAUAUUGGUCAAUGGGCGCUAGCCUGAACCAGCCAAGUAGCGUGAAGGAUGACUGCCCUAUGGGUUGUAAACUUCUUUUAUAUGGGAAUAAAGUGCAGUAUGUAUACUGCUUUGCAUGUACCUUAUGAAUAAGGAUCGGCUAACUCCGUGCCAGCAGCCGCGGUAAUACGGAGGAUCCGAGCGUUAUCCGGAUUUAUUGGGUUUAAAGGGAGCGUAGGCGGGUUGUUAAGUCAGUUGUGAAAGUUUGCGGCUCAACCGUAAAAUUGCAGUUGAUACUGGCAGCCUUGAGUACAGUAGAGGUAGGCGGAAUUCGUGGUGUAGCGGUGAAAUGCUUAGAUAUCACGAAGAACUCCGAUUGCGAAGGCAGCCUGCUGGACUGUAACUGACGCUGAUGCUCGAAAGUGUGGGUAUCAAACAGGAGUAGAUACCCCAGUAGUC